UACGUAGGGGGCAAGCGUUGUCCGGAUUUAUUGGGCGUAAAGAGCUCGUAGGUGGUUCGGUAAGUCGGAUGUGAAAUCUCCAGGCUCAACCUGGAGGGGUCAUUCGAUACUGCCGUGACUAGAGGUCGGUAGGGGAGUGUGGAAUUCCUGGUGGAGCGGUGAAAUGCGCAGAUAUCGGGAGGAACACCUAUGGCGAAGGCAGCUUGCUGGGACGGAACUGACGCUGAGACGCGAAAGCGUGGGGAGCAAACAGG
rnacentral:rRNA from 1 species